UACGGAGUGGCGAGCGUUGCUCGGAUUUACUGGGUGUAAAGGGCACGUAGGCGGUCCUAUAAGCCCUGCCUAAAAUGCUCUGGCUCAACCAGAGCCUGUGGUGGGGACUGCAGGACUUGAGGAUUGAGAGGCGAGCGGAAUUCCCGGUGUAAGGGUGAAAUCUGUAGAGAUCGGGAGGAACACCAGUGGCGCAAGCGGCUCGCUGGCCAAUUUCUGACGCUGAGGUGCGAAAGCUA
rnacentral:rRNA from 1 species